rnacentral:rRNA from 1 species
GAUAAACGCUGGCGGCAUGCUUAACACAUGCAAGUCGAUUCGAAAGUGGUAACAUGAGUAGGAUGGCGGACGGGUGAGUAACACGUGAACGAUCUACCCUUCAGACUGGGGUAACGAGCCGAAAGGUUCGCUAAUACCGGAUAUUAUUAAUUUGCAGCAUUGUAGAUUAAUGAAAGCUAUAUGCGCUGAAGGAGGAGUUCGCGUCCCAUUAGCUAGUUGGUGAGGUAACGGCCCACCAAGGCGACGAUGGGUAGCCGGCCUGAGAGGGCGUACGGCCACAAGGGAACUGAGACACGGUCCUUACUCCUACGGGAGGCAGCAGUGGGGAAUAUUGCACAAUGGGGGAAACCCUGAUGCAGCGAUGCCGCGUGAGUGAUGAAGGUCUUCGGAUCGUAAAGCUCUUUCGACGGGGAAGAAAAAAAUAGACGGUACCUGGAGAAGAAGCCACGGCUAAUCACGUGCCAGCAGCCGCGGUAAAGUCUGUACU